rnacentral:rRNA from 1 species
UACAGAGGUCCCGAGCGUUGUUCGGAUUCAUUGGGCGUAAAGGGUGCGUAGGUGGCGCUGUAAGUGGGGUGUGAAAUCCCGGGGCUUAACCCCGGGACUGCAUUCCAUACUGCGGUGCUUGAGGACUGGAGAGGAGACUGGAAUUUACGGUGUAGCAGUGAAAUGCGUAGAGAUCGUAAGGAAGACCAGUGGCGAAGGCGGGUCUCUGGACUGGUAUUGACGCUGAGGUGCGAAAGCGUGGGGAGCAAACAGG